CUUCUCUCCGAGCCUCGUGGCUGCAGAGACCCGUUUUUGGUGGCGGUUUUGCUCGUCUAACCAUAUAGGAAGGAAUCGACAGACCAUGAUGCCCAUCUGCUUCCUGAUGGCGGCGGUGUGAGAUGGCUGAGCUUGUUUGGGUGGGUGGGAGGGCCACGUGUCUCUUGGAGCAACUGCCACGGAUCCACGAAGUUCAGACUCAUCUGGACCAGCCACACGGAUUCCUGUCUUGAGUUGAAGACCAACCUUCCAGUGUCCAGUAAAAGGACCUCCGCUUU